GCAGCCUUGGUGCGCAAGGACCUGAGCGGGCAGUCUAGCUCGGGCGAGGUGGGCAAAAUGUGGGCUGGCCGCGUCUUACAUGCUGCGCUUUCCGGGGCCUCCCGCGGCCGCCGGGCGCAGUCGGCGCUGGCUCAGUUGCGUGGCAUCCUGAAGGAGGAGCUGGAAAGCAUCCGUAGAGCUGGCACCUGGAAGAGCGAGCGGGUCAUCACGUCCAGUCAGGGGCCGCACAUCCACGUGGACGGCGCCCCGGGAGGAAUUAUUAACUUCUGUGCCAACAACUACCUGGGCCUGAGCAGCCACCCUGAGGUCAUCCAGGCAGGUCUGCAGACCUUAAAGGAGUUUGGAGCUGGCCUUAGUUCUGUCCGUUUCAUCUGUGGCACCCAGAGCAUCCACAAAGAUCUAGAAGCAAAGAUAGCCCGCUUCCACCAACGGGAGGAUGCCAUCCUCUAUCCCAGCUGUUUUGAUGCCAACACCGGCCUCUUUGAGGCCCUGCUGACCUCGGAGGACGCAGUCCUGUCGGAUGAGUUGAACCACGCCUCCAUCAUUGACGGCAUCCGUCUGUGCAAGGCCCACAAAUACCGCUACCGCCACCUGGAUAUGGCUGAUCUGGAAGCCAAGCUGCAGGAGGCCCAGAAGCAUCGGCUGCGCCUUGUGGCCACUGAUGGGGCCUUUUCCAUGGAUGGUGACAUCGCACCCCUGCAGGAAAUCUGCCGCCUUGCCUCUCAAUACGGUGCCUUGGUCUUUGUGGACGAAAGCCACGCCACUGGCUUCCUGGGGCCCACAGGACGGGGCACAGAUGAGCUGCUGGGCGUGAUGGACCAAGUCACCAUCAUCAACUCCACACUGGGGAAGGCACUGGGUGGAGCAUCAGGUGCCUGCUGGCUUGGGCCCCUGGGCUCCCUUUAUCUGCAUGCACGGCCCUGGGGGGGUCUUGAGGGAGGUGGGAAGGGGAGACCUGGGGCUGCAGGGAAGAAGACAGCAUGGACUGUCCUCUCAGGAGGGCCAUGGGGUAAGCUCUGGCUCCUUGUGCUCACCCUUGUUCUCAGGGGGCUACACGACCGGGCCUGGGGCCCUGGUGUCCCUGCUACGGCAGCGGGCCCGGCCCUACCUCUUCUCCAACAGUCUGCCACCUGCUUCUGUCGGCUGUGCCUCCAAGGCCCUGGACCUGCUCAUGGAGAGCAAUGCCAUCGUCCAGUCUAUGGCGGCCAAGACCCUGCGCUCCCCAACCAAGGAUCGAACCCACGCCCCCUGCAUUGGAAGUAUGGAGUAUUAGUCACUGGACUCCCAGGGAAGUCUCCCCGGUGCAUUUCUUUGCAAAUAAUGCUGCAUUCCCCCUUCUUGUACAGUCCUGUCUUUCCGCCUCCCUAACUGGUCUUCCUGUUCCUCUGCCUCUUUCCCCAUCUGCCUCUCUGGGUCAGCAUCUCUGUCUUUGUUGGUCCCUCCUGCAGACUUGGUCACAAGCCUUGGGUCACAUCCAUGUCCAUCAGGAGUGGAUGUGGUUACUCCACAGUCUCCCAAUUCCCAGUAACACCCAUCUCAUGCCCACAGAUUCCGCAGUCAGAUGGAAGCUGCUGGCUUCACCAUCUCAGGAGCCAAUCACCCCAUCUGCCCUGUGAUGCUGGGUGAUGCUCGGCUGGCCUUAAACAUAGCAGAUGACAUGCUUAAGAGAGGCAUCUUUGUCAUUGGGUUCAGUUACCCUGUGGUCCCCAAGGACAAGGCCCGGAUCCGAGUCCAGAUCUCAGCAGUGCACAGCGAGGAGGACAUUGACCGCUGCGUGGAGGCCUUCGUGGAGGUGGGGCGACUGCAUGGGGCACUGCCUUGAGUUCUGGGUAGUGACCAGCAGAGCUGAGGUCCCCCUCCCAACACAGUGAAAAGGGGGGCCUCUGAUCAGCCCAGGCCAGAGGCUCUGAGCUCUGUCAUUCCUGGCGCCAGGCUGGCCGGAGGCCUGUGCUUGUGGGUGUGAGGUUAAAACAACAGUGUGGCAAUCGGCUGUGA